UACAGAGGGGGCAAGCGUUGCUCGGAAUUACUGGGCGUAAAGGGCGCGUAGGCGGCCUUCUAAGUCGGACGUGAAAUCCCCAGGCUCAACCUGGGAACUGCGUCCGAUACUGGAUGGCUUGAAUCCGGGAGAGGGAUGCAGAAUUCCAGGUGUAGCGGUGAAAUGCGUAGAUAUCUGGAGGAACACCGGUGGCGAAGGCGACAUCCUGGACCGGCAUUGACGCUGAGGCGCGAAAGCCAGGGGAGCAAACGGG
rnacentral:rRNA from 1 species